AUGAACGCUGGCGGCGUGCCUAAUACAUGCAAGUCGAGCGAACAGACGAGGAGCUUGCUCCUCUGACGUUAGCGGCGGACGGGUGAGUAACACGUGGAUAACCUACCUAUAAGACUGGGAUAACUUCGGGAAACCGGAGCUAAUACCGGAUAAUAUAUUGAACCGCAUGGUUCAAUAGUGAAAGACGGUUUUGCUGUCACUUAUAGAUGGAUCCGCGCCGCAUUAGCUAGUUGGUAAGGUAACGGCUUACCAAGGCAACGAUGCGUAGCCGACCUGAGAGGGUGAUCGGCCACACUGGAACUGAGACACAGUCCAGACUCCUACGGGAGGCAGCAGUAGGGAAUCUUCCGCAAUGGGCGAAAGCUUGACGGAGCAACGCCGCGUGAGUGAUGAAGGUCUUCGGAUCGUAAAACUCUGUUAUUAGGGAAGAACAAAUGUGUAAGUAACUAUGCACGUCUUGACGGUACCUAAUCAGAAAGCCACGGCUAACUACGUG
rnacentral:rRNA from 1 species